GUGUGUUGUAAACAAUGAGAAUUGAGGCGUUGGGGUUAUGUCCACCUUCUGAGGUAUACGUCUCUAUUGGCUAUGAGUGUGUAGAGUCUUGACAUGUAAUUGCUUAUAGAGAAUUGUAGUCGAUGGUAAAUCCAAGCGUCUCUCGACCUAAACAAGGACUAUUUCACUUUAACUCUCUUGAGCUUAAAGCGUGACUAACGGUACGAAUUCUCCAAGAAGUUAGUCCAGGUACGGCACUAGCUUUUUAAUAGGAAAGGGUGUCCUACUACCUUGACAUUAUCUCUUUUCCAGACAAAUAACUUUUCUCUCGAACAAGUCAGAUGUUAGACUGGCGUUGGUCUAUGCGUCUUCUUUUCUAGACAAAUAACCUUUCUCUCGAACAGGUUAGAUGUUAGAAUGGCGUGUUCUUGUGUUUGAACUGCAAAGAAUGUAGAUUUAAGAUGAAGAGAAUAAUGAUAUAAGCAAUAUACUUGUCUUGAACUCACAAACUCAUAGCUAUAGAUAGUAACUCAUUCGGCUUCCAUAACCCCAACUAAGAGAUUUAGUUACCCAUGAAUGCGAAGGAUAUCACGCUUUGCAUGGUGGAUGGCGUGAAUAGUAGGUGUUUGGCGUGUGGUUUUAGUGAUUCCGUAGCAAGUAACGAUUCUCUUGUUGUGGAAUUUAAGAGUAGAAGAAUGAAGAAUUGAGAAUGGGUUGUAGGAAGAUGUCUUAAUUGUAAGGAGAUGAAUGAAUUGUCAGAAUGUCUCCCUUCUUGAAAAUCUCUAACAUGAUAGGGUAUUUAUAAUACUCCUAUCCUACUCCUACUAAACUAAUAAAAUAAAUAACCAAAUCCUAAUAUACUAAUGAAAUCCUUGACCCAAUUGUACUAGGGUAAGGUUACAAAAUUAUAAUCCAAAUAGAAUGAUGAAACACAUAACCUAAUUGCACUAGGUUAAUGUAUUAUGGCAAAAAUCCAGCUUUGUGUCUGUAAGUCCCAAAGUCUUCAGAAAUGCUGUUUUAGCCCGGGACAGAUUUUCCAUGCAGCAGAUUUAGUCCUUUAUGCGUCCAGCUCCUUUCCAUCUCGUUUGUGAGCUUUCUUUUGCGUCAAGUAAGCCAUAAAUUGCUGUAUUUUGCAUCAUUUAUACCUGAAACUUUCCUAAUCACAUUUGUUAGCUCAUUUACAGGAAAAAGGACUAAAAGUGUACGAAAUAGAUAAUUAGUUCUCGAAACUAGGCUAAAAUAUGGGCAAAAUAUAUUGAUAUAGGCGCGUAAUUUCGCCUAUCAUCAACACCCCACACUUAGAGCUUUGUUCGUCCUCGAACAACAUAUCAUGUCCUUCUAAGCAUUGACUUAAGGUUUUUACAGAAACAACACAAAACAUUCUUCAAGACAAGCACAACAAUUAUCAACGAAGAGUAGCUUUCCGAUUAUAAGUAGAAACAAUUUAACCUCAAGCAUAGACUCGUGAUGGUGAUCAACUCGCAUGCAAACGUUUAAGGUACAUAGAAUCAUAUACAACUAUCCAAAACUCAUCAACCAUGUGUGUCUCACAAUAUAGUACCCAUAAUCACUCACAAGUAUAGCAUAUUUUUCAAACAUGGGCAGCAAAGUAUCCUUGCGCUCACUCUCACAAAGAAUUCAUAUGUAGCAGCUAAUGACCAUAGGCUUGCCCUUAAUGUAGUACUCCACUAAAUGUCGGAAUGUUAAGGUUAGGAUCAAGUAGGUCUUUUGAUGGUUGUAAUGUAGGCUAAGGGACGGGUAGGAUCAACUAUUUUGGCCAGAAAUAGUGACUAAGUUCCUAAGCACUUUAAUACAUCACAUUGUAUUAUUGACACUUUUUUGUAGCACCCUUGUUCUCCUCUUUUGUUUUUCAAUUUUAAAGCACAACUCACUUUUCAGCUUUCUUUUCCUUUUUCUUCUCACAACAUACCUCUUAUGAUAGCACUUUCUUUUUCAUAACAUAUUCAAGCACCAUUACAAUUUAAAGCAUCAUACUCAACCAAUUUCCUCUUAUGUUGUCACAUGACUUUUUCACUUUAAAGCACUUAGGAAUUUGGAUCAAAUUACGGUCUUGAAAAAAAAAUGAAUUAGGCUUACAUACAAGGUUGUCAAAGAAAUAGGCUAAAGGCUCAAAAGGGUUUAACUAGGAUGAUGUCCAUGGGUAGGUAAAACUGAAGGUAAACAAAUAUAGGUUGCCAAAGAAAUGCCUAAAUCAUAUCCUAAACUUACACUCCUUAUUUUCGCUUUGCAUACAUACCAGGCAAGUUCUAGCAUCAGCCACAUACAUAGAAUAUACUAUUAUCUCACACACACAAGGCACAUGGUCGACUUGAUUGGUAGCAAUAUAGACUCUCAACCCAACAAGUGAAGGAAUUGAAUCACACACUAUCACAUAAUGAGUCACAACUAGAGCCUAAAUGUCUCAAUAGUCACAAUUGUAAUACAUACUAUUGUUAUAAUCUCAUGCUGCCUAUUAAAAUAAUUUCAUGCGAGGCUAGAAAAAUUUUAACUACUAAAAACUAAAAAAAAAACGUCACACGAAAAAAAUCACAAAAAAAAAUCGGACUCAAAACAAAAUAAAUAAAACAAAAUAAACAAGCAAACAUACAAAUAUAGCAUGCAGAUUCUGCCGACACCCCACACUUAGACUAGACACUGCCCUCAGUGGAAAAUAAAGUCGAAGAACCUGAUUAGUCGGACUCUUCCUCAAUGUCAUACCCCCUUCGUUCGAGUCAUCGUAAGAGUCAUCGUCAGAGUUCUCCUCAGCAUCAGAAUCAGGCAAGCGUCUAUCAUCAUCAGUUGGCACGUCAUCAUCAAGAGGUUCCUCGAAAUAUACUCCCACUCCACACAUCUCCCGGGCAUGUCUGUUCAUUGGGUAGUCGUGGUCCAGCUGUUGGAGCUCUUCAGCAGUUGGAAUACGUCCACCACUCAUCAUAGUGAAUCUCGUCAUGCCAUAGAGAUGACGGAAGAAACUCUCGUCACGAGCAUGUCUCUCCGCAGUGGUAAGGUUGACUCCAUGCGUUGUUUCAGCAUCUUUGACCUUGGUGAGGUCAACCUUCUUUGGGGUAUGUGGGAGUUUGUGGUCAGCUGGUUCCUCCUCUAUAUCCUCCUUCCGCAACAUUGCUGUCAACAAAUUGCCGAAUGUGAAAUAGGACCAUUCACAUUCACAUCAGUCUGGCUUUCCUCAUGGUGGAUCGAAUGAUUGCCCCAAAGUUGAUAGGGACAUUCGUCAUUAAUGAAUAAACCAGGCACACUCUAUCUCUCGAUAUCUUUGUGUAUUGCGUCCCAGGAAUGAGGCAUGAGUUGACAAUGCGCAUCCAGAUUCUUGCUUCCCUAUUUAGUGGAGCAUAGGGGAAUGUGUUGUGACGGCCUGUUUCCUUAUGUCUGCCCCAUCUCGCCAUCGAUCUGCUUCCACAAAGCGUGUGUCUUAUAGCUCUGUAAGGAGGUCUGCUGUACAGCUCUUUGUAUGGUGCAGUGUCGACCGAAGGUAGGCCUAGAAACGAGUUGAUCCAAUCCGCUGUAAGCUGUAACACUUGGCCCCGAAUUUUGACUUCGUUGCCUGUUGUGUUUGGCGACCAGUUGGCAUAAAACUCUCUUGUCAAGUCAAGAUUGCACUCUCCCAUGUCACGGAAGAUGAAAUCCAGCUUCAAAGCCAUAAUCUUAGCCAACAUUUGCGGCUCCUUCUUUGCUAAGGUCUCCUUAUUGAUUAAGUCGACGUGCACAUAUUUCUUUUCUUUGUUGCUGCUGUACCAUGCCUUGGCUUCUUCCUCAAGAACCCAUUUGAUUCCGAACAUUCUGCGUGGUAGGUGUGCGGAAGAUGAUUCGCCUUGGUCUUUUCGGCUUCUCUUUUUGUCCUUGCGGGUUGUGGUAGCCUUCUCCUUGCCUUGCCUUGCUUUCGGUGCCAUUGUACCGCCUUUACCAUACAACGCGACCAAAUCGUCAAUUGAAAUCAAUCUCCUCGUUGCAUACUUCUUACACCUAUAUUUGCUCAAACAAAUGAAAACGAUUAGUACGAUGGGUUGCCUCCCACCAAGCGCCUUAGUUUUGGUCGUGGCACGACUCUUAUUUUUGGAUUUUCAUUUAUCAAAAAGAAAAAAUACUAAAACGACAAAACGAUAAAACAAUAAAACGAAGGGUUGCCUCCCAUCUAGCGCCUUAUUUAUUGUCGUGGCUCGACGUAGUAAUCUCGAGUACUUAGACUUCGUCGAGAUAAGUGAUGGCCAUGUCAUUUAUCGAGUCAAGAGGACCGAUAUAUGGCUUAACACGUUGGCCAUUCACCUUGAAGAUAACACCCUCAUUAUUUUCCAAUUCGACUACUCCAAACGAGUAGACGUGGGUGACUUUAAAUGGACCAGACCACUUUGAUUUUAACUUACCUGGGAAGAGCUUGAAUCUGGAGUUAAAGAGUAGCACCAUGUCACCUUUUUGGAAGUGUCGUCGAACAAUCCGCUGAUCGUGAUACUUCUUCAUCCGCUCCUUGUAUAAAUCUGAUCUUUCAUAAGCAUGGAGACGGAAUUCAUCUAGCUCGUUCAGCUGCUCCAACCUCAGGUUCUUCACAUCAUCCCAAUUCAGAUUCAAGUGCUUCAAUGCCCAUAAUGCCUUGUAUUCAAGCUCGAUGGGUAGAUGACAAGCCUUCCCAUAAACUAGCUGAUAAGGUGACAUGCCAAUGGGUGUCUUGAAUGCAGUCCUAUACGCCCAUAGUGCAUCAUCUAGCUUCCGAGACCAAUCCUUCCGAUUCGCAUUGACCGUCUUGGCAAGGAUUUGCUUGAUCUCCCGAUUGGAAACCUCUACUUGUCCACUAGUUUGGGGAUGAUAAGGCGUAGCUACCUUGUGUUGCUUGACUCCAUACUUGGCCAAUACAGAUUUGAAUAGCUUGUUGCAGAAGUGAGAUCCUCCAUCACUUAUGAUAGUACGAGGUACCCCAAAGCGAGAGAAGAUAUUCUUCUUUAAAAACGCUACAACACGCUUUCCUUCAUUAUCGGCCAAUGCUACAGCUUCAACCCAUUUCGACACAUAAUCCACAGCAACCAAGAUGUACUUCAUUCCAAACGAAUUUACGAAUGGUCCCAUGAAAUCAAUACCCCAUACAUCAAAGAGUUCUACCUCCAGGAUUGUGGACAUGGGCAUUUCAUGGUGUUUUGAAAUAACACCUUGACGUUGGCAUUGGUCACACCUUCUCACAUAGUCGUGUGCAUCUCUGAAUAUUGUAGGCCAAUAAUAACCACUUUGCAAGACUUUUCUUGCUGUUCGAUUACCCGCAUGAUGUCCUCCAACUUGCGAAGUGUGGCAUGCUUCUAAUAUAGUGGGCACUUCGUCAUGGGAUAUACAUCGUCGAAUGAUACCAUCCGCACAUCUUCGAAACAAAUAAGGCUCAUCCCAAUAAUAGUGCUGAACGUCAUGCAUAAACUUCCUCCUCUGGUGGUAAGAUAAAUUUGUAGGUAACACAUUACUCACCACGAAAUUCGCAAAGUCGGCAUACCAUGGUAAGUCUUCUAUUGUUGUCGCUAAUAUCUCCUCGUCAGGGAAUGCAUCGCCAAUCUGAUUUUCUGAUUGCGCCACAUACUCAUUCUCAAGUCUAGAUAGGUGAUCAGCCACUUGGUUCUCGCAACCUCUUCUAUCUUUGACUUCGAAAUCAAACUCUUGCAGCAGCAACACCCAUCGAAUCAGCCUUGGUUUUGCAUCCUUCUUUGUCAUUAGAUACCUAAGAGCUGCAUGGUCUGUAUGAACGAUCACUUUAGUACCUAAUAGGUAGGCGCGGAACUUCUCAAACGCAUACACAACCGCUAAUAGCUCUUGUUCAGUGACGGUGUAGUUCCUUUGGGCUUCAUUGAGGACCUUACUCGCAUAGUAGAUAGGAUGAAAUAAUUUCUCCUUUCUCUGUCCAAGAACAGCACCAACGGCUACACCACUAGCAUCACACAUGACUUCGAACGGGAGCGUCCAAUCUGGUGUUACCAUGAUAGGGGCUUCAACGAGUUUUUCUUUAAGGCAUUCAAAUGCCUUUAAGCAAUCAUCAUUAAAGUCAAACUUCGCAUCUUUCUCCAAUAGCUUGCAUAAUGGACUAGAAAUUUUGGAGAAGUCUUUGAUGAAUCUACGAUAAAACCCAGCAUGGCCAAGAAAACUACGAACUCCCUUCACCGAAAUUGGAGGUGGUAGCUUCUCAAUUACCUCUAUUUUGGCGCGAUCAACCUCUAUUCCUUUUUCGGAGAUCUUGUGCCCAAGAACAAUUCCUUCUUUUACCAUGAAGUGGCACUUCUCCCAAUUCAGCACAAGGUUGAACUCUACACAUCUUUGUAAUGCCAUGCUUAAAUUCACCAAACAUGCUUCGAAAGACUCCCCAACAACUGAAAAGUCGUCCAUAAAUACCUCCAAAGUGUCUUCUACCAUAUCAGAGAAAAUAGACAUCAUACAUCGCUGAAAGGUGGCUGGUGCAUUACAUAACCCGAAUGGCAUACGUUUGAAGGCAAACGUACCAUAUGGGCAUGUAAACGUUGUCUUCUCUUGGUCUUCUGGUGCAAUAAAAAUCUGAUUAUAACCUGAAUAACCAUCAAGAAAGCAAAACCAUCCUUUUCCCGCUAAUCGAUCUAGCAUUUGGUCCAUAAAUGGCAUGGGGAAGUGAUCCUUGAGAGUCCAAGAAUUCAGCUUGCGGUAGUCCAUGCAUACUCUCCAUCCAGUGACGGGCCUGAGUGGAAUAAGCUCAUUCUUUGCAUUCGCAACCACCGUCAUACCUCCUUUCUUGGGAACACAUUGUACUGGGCUUACCCAUGUACUAUCAGAAAUAGGAUACACAACUCCUGCGUCUAACCACUUGAUAAUCUCCUUCUUCACCACCUCUUGCAUUGGUGGGUUUAGACGUCUUUGGUGUUCGAUGGUGGGUGUGCACUUUUCUUGGAGCUGAAUUUUAUGAGUGCAAAUUCCAGGUGGAAUACCAAGGAUAUCCGCAAUGGUCCAUCCAAUAGCUCUAAUAUACUUGCGUAAAAUUGCAAUAAGAGCUGCAACUUGUUGCUCACCUAAAUCGGCUGCCACUAUGACUGGAAGAGUGUUUCCGCUUCCUAAGAAUGCAUACUUCAAAUGGCUUGGCAGCUCCUUUAAUUCUAAUGUGGGUGGUUCUUCAAUAGAUGGCUUAGCUGGUGGUGUGGGUCGAUUCUUGAGAUCAAGAUCCAGCUUCUUAGGAGGAUAGCGAUAUGCUCCUAAUCCCGAUAGAGCACAAAUAUCAUCUUCAGAAAUUUCAGCAUCAUCAUCAUCUUCUUCCAUGAGCAAAACCUCCAAAGGAUCAUCAAGAAUUUGUUCUUCAGCAAGUAACUCAUCCUCGUCAUCAACGACAACAUCAGUCACAGAAAAUACACUUAGAUCUUUGGGUUGCUUCAUUGAUUUGCAAACAUCAAAGCGCACCACUUCAUCAUUUAUUCGGAAUGAAAGUUCAUUAGCUCUCAAAUCUAUGAGCACACUUCCCGUAGCAAGGAAAGGGCGUCCCAAGAUUAUGGGAACCUCUGAAUCUGCUUCGCAAUCCAAGAUGACAAAGUCUGCUGGAAAUAUGAAUGAAGAUACCUUCACCAAGACAUCGCAUAGAAUACCAACCGGUCGUUUUACCGACCUAUCCGCCAUAACAAGCUUCAUAUUAGUUGGUGUAGGAUCUCCCAACCCCAACUUCUUGUAGAUUGAUAAUGGCAUCAAGUUGAUGCUGGCUCCUAAGUCACAUAAUGCUUUAGCAAAGUCCAAAGAUCCGACGGUGCAAGGAAUAGUGAAAGCUCCGGGGUCGGCCUUCUUCUGAACUAUGGAUCGGGUAGCUAUUGCACUACAAUGAUGCACAUCUUCUUUCAGCUCAUAGCUUGCUGCCCUCUUCUUAGUCAAAAGAUCUUUCAUAAACUUCGCAUACCCAGGCAUUUGUUCAAGUGCCUCUACCAAUGGGACAUUAAUAGUCAGCUGCUUCAAGAUGGUCAUGAACUUGCUGAACUUAGUGUCAUCGGCCGCCUUCUUCAGUCUUUGUGGAAAAGGUGGUGGUGGGUAUGGAAGUGUUCUUUCCAUGGCUUUCUUCUCCUCUUGCUUCCGUUUAUUACUUUUUUCAGGCUGCACGUCACUAGGCAACACGUCCUUGACGUUGGAAGUGGAUAUUGCGGCGUCUUCCCUAGUGGCGUCACUAGGUGUGGCGGUUGUGUCUGCUGUUCUGUCAACUAUUUGCUUGCCUUCUGCUGAAGUUUCCAGCACCUUACCACUCCUCGUAGUGAUGGCCAUGCAUGACCCAUCAGUCCUUGGAUUUUGCACCGUAUCGCUAGGCAAGGUGCCGGCUUUUCUUUGGUUGAGUGUUGCUGAAAGUUGACUGAAUUGCUGCUCUAGUUGCUUGAUAGAAGUGGAAUGAGAAUCAACUAAUUGCUUCAUGGAGGCCAAAUCGUCAAUCACCUCCUUAACUCCCGCAUUCGUCGCUUCCACUCCUUUCAAUAACUUAGCCAUCAUGUCUUCCAUAGAAUUAGAUGUGGUGGUAUCACGUCUACCAGGGGGAACGUACAAACCACUGUUUUCAUUAUUUUUCUUCCAACUACCUUGGUCUUUACCUCCAGAUUUGUCAUAAUAGUUCCGACCUUGGUUUCCUUGGGCAUUCCCACGGAAACCCCCCUGAUUGUUCAAGUAGUUGGCCUCCUCUUCUGAAUCAGAUUCGUCUCUUCCUUUUGACGCAAUAGAUUUCACUUUUUCAGUCUUCCCUAAUAGAUGCUUUGUAAGAAGAUCCAUUUGGGUUUUCAUGUGCGCCAUAUCUUGAUCACGUUCUUCUUCUCUCCUUCUUUGAUCUGCAGACAUGCCAAUAGAUAAAGUGGGGCUUGCUACCUCAGAAUCCCUGGUAUGCCAAGCUCUACUUUGUUUCGUCAUACGAUCUAGCAUGUUGCUUGCUUGACCAAAGGUGAGGUCCAUAAAAGAACCUCCAGCUGCGUUGUCCACCACUGGUUUAGUUACUGAAUUCAAGGCUCUAUAUAAGAUCUCCAUGAGGUGAACAUUAGUCAUGUGAUGGUUUGGGCAUCUCGCUAGCUUUGUCUUGAACCUCUCCCAUGUUUCGUGAAGAGCUUCAGAGGGAAGCUGACGAAAGUUGCUGAUUUCAUCUCUCAAUUGAGCCCUCUUGGAUGGCGGAAAGAAUCUUUCUAGGAAAGCGUCUCUCAAUUGCCUCCAAUUUGUAAUAGAAUCAGGAGUCAGCCCAUUCAACCAUAAUGUUGCCUCCCCAGACAGAGACAAUGGAAAUAGACGUAAUCGAAUAGCAUUCUGACCAACUCCAGGAUUGUCAAAAGACUUGCAUGUAGAAAUAAAGUUGAUGAGAUGCAUAUUCGGAUCAUCGCCUGCUAGUCCACCAAAUAAUCCCUUGAGUUGCAAUAACUGAAUCAUGGUGCUAGUGAUGUUGAACUUGGCUCCGGGCGCUAAUGGUGGUGGAAUUAUAGCUCCAGUGGCUCCGGCACCAUCAAGAUCAUCAUCAUCAUCGUCGAAAGCUGGUUGCAAAGGUUGGCGAUCAUAUCUGUACCGAGCUUGUCGACCUCGUCUGUUGGUAGGUGUUGCCAUUUCAGCGCCAUGCCUUGGGUUGAUCAACUCGUCAUCUCCUAAAUCUUCAUCGUCAGGAUUUGUUGCUCGUCCAGGAUUAUCAAUGUUUUGUUGUUGGACUUGAGCAGCGGCAAGAGCAGCUAAUCUUGCUUGCUCAUGUUGAGCAGCCAUCCUGUCGAUUUCCGCUUGUGCUUCCAUUCUUCUGAUUCGUUGUGGUUCCGGAUUGAUUGGUAAUAACGGUUGACCAGAACUUCUAGUAUGGGGCAUGCACUAAAAGAAAAACCUGCAAUAAACAAAAACAAAAACUAAACGUAAAAGUACGAGAAUCUUUGACCAAAGGGUCUAGUAAUUUUCACGAACUUGAUUGACACUCGUAUUCCCCGGCAACGGCGCCAAUUUUUGAUAACGCUCAAUCUACAGCUCUCGUGGGAGUGUAAAGCGGUCGUUAGCAAAUAUAGAACCCAACCUGGGUUGGGUAUCGAUCCCACAGAGAAUAGCUUGGCCAACAAGCAAGAAAAAUUACUAGACUUUUAGUGCAAGUCUCGUAGGAAAGGGGGGAUUGUAGUAUGUAACCAAAACAAGAAUGUAAGAACUGAAAAUAGCAAAAUAAAGAGAGAUUGUCACGUGUGUUGUAAACAAUGAGAAUUGAGGCGUUGGGGUUAUGUCCACCUUCUGAGGUAUACGUCUCUAUUGGCUAUGAGUGUGUAGAGUCUUGACAUGUAAUUGCUUAUAGAGAAUUGUAGUCGAUGGUAAAUCCAAGCGUCUCUCGACCUAAACAAGGACUAUUUCACUUUAACUCUCUCGAGCUUAAAGCGUGACUAACGGUACGAAUUCUCCAAGAAGUUAGUCCAGGUACGGCACUAGCUUUUUAAUAGGAAAGGGUGUCCUACUACCUUGACAUUAUCUCUUUUCCAGACAAAUAACUUUUCUCUCGAACAAGUCAGAUGUUAGACUGGCGUUGGUCUAUGCGUCUUCUUUUCUAGACAAAUAACCUUUCUCUCGAACAGGUUAGAUGUUAGAAUGGCGUGUUCUUGUGUUUGAACCGCAAAGAAUGUAGAUUUAAGAUGAAGAGAAUAAUGAUAUAAGCAAUAUACUUGUCUUGAACUCACAAACUCAUAGCUAUAGAUAGUAACUCAUUCGGCUUCCAUAACCCCAACUAAGAGAUUUAGUUACCCAUGAAUGCGAAGGAUAUCACGUUUUGCAUGGUGGAUGGCGUGAAUAGUAGGUGUUUGGCGUGUGGUUUUAGUGAUUCCGUAGCAAGUAACAAUUCUCUUGUUGUGGAAUUUAAGAGUAGAAGAAUGAAGAAUUGAGAAUGGGUUGUAGGAAGAU
rnacentral:lncRNA from 1 species